AUUGAACGCUGGCGGCAGGCCUAACACAUGCAAGUCGAGCGAGCGGCGGACGGGUGAGUCCUGUCUGUGAAACUGCCUGAUGUAGGGGGGUAACUACUGGAAAAGGUAUCUAAUACCGCAUACCAUCAACUGUGCCCCGAUGGGGUUAGCUCGUAGGUGGGGUAACGGCUCACCUCGGCGACGAUCCCUAGCUGGUCUGAGAGGAUGACCAGCCAAACUGGAACUGAGACACGGUCCAGACUCCUACGGGAGGCAGCAGUGGGGAAUAUUGCACAAUGGGCGCAAGCCUGAUGCAGCCAUGCCGCGUGUGUGAAGAAGGCCUUCGGGUUGUAAAGCACUUUCAGCGGGGAGGCGUUACCCGCAGAAGAAGCACCGGCUAACUCCGUGCCAGCAGCCGCGGUAAUUC
rnacentral:rRNA from 1 species